rnacentral:tRNA from 1 species
GCGCCAGUAGCUCAGUUGGAUAGAGCAACGGCCUUCUAAGCCGUCGGUCGGGGGUUCGAAUCCUCCUUGGCGCGCCA